GGGGUAAGAGGGAGGAACAUCCCCUCAAAAUUGAGAUUUUCGAUGGGCACCCUCAAAGCGAUUCAGUUCUGACUUGCUCCCACAAUACCUUGCGAGAAAACGGAAAAUCAAGAAAUAUCCCAGACAAGAUGGAGGACGAAAAGAUGCGACAGGAUUGGAAAAACACAAAUGACAUCGUUGAGUCCACUGCCACCAGCCCCCCCACCUCUCCCUCAUGCUCCUCCACCCCAGGCACCUCUUCCACCACCCCAGACACCCCUUCCAAGAGGAGAGUGCCAGGGGGCAGGCGAGGCAUGAGGAGAGCGAGGCAAAGUUGGCGGAAUGGUGGAGAAGAUGUGAUUCUCCACCAUUCUCUCAAAAGCUGAGAGAGAGUGUGUGUGUGUGUGUAUUUUUAGGUUUGCGUGUGUGUGUAUUUUUAGAUGCGUGUGUGUGUAUUUUUAGAUGUGUGGUUCAGUGUUUCUUAUUUAAAUAAAGUGUUUCUUCUAAA